rnacentral:rRNA from 1 species
GUUCUGGGCUACACACGUGCUACAAUGGCCGGUACAGACGGACGCAAAGCCGCGAGGUGGAGCAAAUCCUAAAAAGCCGGUCUCAGUUCGGAUUGCAGGCUGCAAUUCGCCUGCAUGAAGUCGGAAUCGCUAGUAAUCGCAGGUCAGCAUACUGCGGUGAAUACCGGUUCCCGGGCCUU